rnacentral:rRNA from 1 species
UACGUAGGGGGCAAGCGUUGUCCGGAUUUAUUGGCGUAAGCGCGCGCAGGCGGUUUCUUAAGUCUGAUGAUGAAAGCCCAGCGGCCUCAACCGUGGAGGUCAUUGGAAACUGGGGAACUUGAGUGCAGAAGAGAAAGCGGAAUCCACGUGUAGCGGUGAAAUGCGUAGAGAUGUGGAGGAACACCAGUGGCGAAGGCGGCUUCU